AACGCGAAGAACCUUACCUGGCCUUGACAUGAAGGUGGUAGAAGGAUGAAAGUCCGACGACCCCGCAAGGGGAGCCUUCACAGGUGCUGCAUGGCUGUCGUCAGCUCGUGCCGUGAGGUGUUCGGUUAAGUCCGGUAACGAGCGCAACCCCUGUGACCUGUUGCCACCCCGAGCGAUCGGGAGCACUCUGGUCAGACUGCCCUGCAUAACGGGGAGGAAGGUGGGGAUGACGUCAAGUCAGUAUGGUCCUUACGGCCAGGGCUGCACACGUGCUACAAUGCCCAGUACAGAGGGAAGCCAACCCGCGAGGGGGAGCCAAUCCCAUAAAACUGGGCUCAGUUCAGAUUGAAGGCUGCAACUCGCCUUCAUGAAGCUGGAAUCGCUAGUAAUGGCGCAUCAGCUACGGCGCCGUGAAUACGUUCCCGGGCCUUGUACACACCGGAGUGC
rnacentral:rRNA from 1 species